GGGUCAGUAGGUUGGUCGUGCCACCGGUACGUACUGGUCUCACUGAUCCCUCCUUCCUGAAGAACCGUAAUGCCAUUAAUUUGGUGUUGCGGGGAAACAGGACUGUUACUUUGAAAAAAUUAGAGUGUUUAAAGCAAGCUAACGCCUGAAUACAUUAGCAUGGAAUAAUGAAAUAGGACGAUCGAUCCUAUUUUGUUGGUUUCUAGGAUUGACGUA
rnacentral:rRNA from 1 species